CAGUCAGUUAAAUGGGUCCAUCUUGGACAGGAGGAGAGAGAAGGAGAGACGUCUGGGUAGAGAUGGGAAAACUCUGAAGAGAUUCAGCGAAGGGGAAGAGGCCCUCGUGGGAAGUCAGCUGAGGUCAGAGGUCACCAGGCCUCAGGACCAGGGGGCCCGAAACGUCUCAGAAGCUGCUCCUGGUCUUCCAGGUCCUUCCGCACCUUCUUGCGCAUGUAGAAGAUGGGGCAGUCCCGGCUGCGGGCGAGGUGGGCGGUCAGAGCCGCCCCACAGUCCCGUGGCCCAGCCCAGCGGUGAGGUCGGGGCCAUUCCCAGGACUUUGGCCCCUGCUUGCUGCCCACCCAACCCCCCUCCCAUGCCGGGCUGUUUGCUCAGUGGGCACGGGGGAGCCGAUAACAGCGGGUGCUCGCUGAGGUGCUGGGCCACCAGCCGUAUAUCACCUGUCACCUGGCACCUGGCGUGGGAACCCGCCCCGCCCACCUGUUCCCUGGGGAAAGCCCGGCCCCGCCCUGGGGGAAGGGGCCAGGAUCCUGCCUCUGUGUGUGUGUGUGUGUGUGUGUGUGUGUGUGGAGUGGGGCCAUUCCCUCCCCACUCAGCAGCACCCCCCACCCCCACCCCCAGGAAGGCUGGGAUGGGCACUGGCCAGGACACCAAGAGUCAGCAAGACCCCCACAGCCAGAAGGGGAUGUGGGGUGGGGCGCUGGAGCCCAACACCCUGGAGCCAGGGUUUUGAUCCACAGGCCUUGGGAGCUUGGAGGGAGGUGCCUAGGCAGUCCGGCCGGAGUGAGGCUGGGGGCCCCAGCAGGUGGGCCCACCUGGUGCAGAUGACGUCCUCGUGCAGGCUGCCCUGACAGCGCUGGCACUGGGUCCACAGGCGGGAGAAGCGCUCCUCCAGGGCGUUCAGGUGGGACACCUGGGGAUGGCGGGGCUGAGUGGGCCGCCCUGCUCCCCCCAACAGCUGUCCCUCCCCGCUUCCUCCGACCCCUCACUCACCUCCUUCUGAUACAGCUCAGAUUCCCGGGGCUGGCAGAACUUGCACACGGCUCCUGGGAUGGGGCGGGGGUGGGUCGCAGGUCAGCAAGGGGGAGCUGGGGCUGAGCCAGGGCCUGGGCCACCCCAUCCCUGCCCCUUCCCCGCCCGCUGCCCAUCCCGGCUCCUGAAAGUCCCCACAGAUGAAAGAACAAGGGAGCAAGUGUGUGGAGAAAACUCCCUGGGGAACUCCCGGGGCGGGGGGCCCAGGACCCUCAAGGGGGUGCCUGCAGAUAGGAGCCCCCAACCCAAGGGCUGGGGCCUAUCCGGGCAGCAAUGCCAGCUUGAGGGCCCAGUGCCGGGGUCUUCGGGUGAUGGCAGGGUCAGGAGGAAGGCCCGGUUAGGGGUUGGGUUGGGGAGAACCUCGCUCACCCUGGUGGCUGAGGACAGCUCGGCAGCCGAUGCAGCAGUUUCGGCGUUUGGCGAAGGCCAGGAGGCCGCCCACCUUGCCCGUGAGCACUGUCUUGCAGCGCGUGUGGUCCCCACCUGUAGGUGAGGGCAGGCAGUGGGCCUGGCGCCCUCCCCCGACACCUGAGGACCAGCCCCCUCCCCACCGGGGUGCCCCCACCCCGUACGCAGCAGCACGGCCUCGGCGCGGCCCUCGCCCAGGAUGGGCUCGAAGAUGCGCAGAAGCGGCUUGGCCAGCUGCUGCUCCAGGUCCCGCCCCCUCCCGCGCUGGGCGGACCUCUCGGCCAGCUCCACGUGGGCCUGCUUGCCAGCGUAGUCGGAGGCAGCGCGGGUCAGCUCCUUGGUGAUGACCAGCUGGGAGAUGUCAAUGCGGUUACACAGCAGAUCGGAGAUGACGUCCUGCGCAUGCGCCACAGCCCCCGCCGGGUCUCUGUUGGGGAGGACAGGCGGCGCAGCGAGGCGGUGACGAGGUUGGCCACUAAGGGGCAGUUGUCCCGGCGGACAGCCUCCAGGCCCUUGCAGUCCAUGCGAUCAUGGGCGUCGGGCCGGGAGGAGAAGAGCAGGCCCGCGUACCGCUUCUUGCUGAUGAGCAGCCGGAUGGGUGAAGGGAAGUGGCCAGACACCCAGUCUGCGGCCUCACGACCCAGGGCCAUCGCCUCAGCCACAGAGGAGAUGCCAAAUCGGCACAUGACAGAGUCAGUGUCGCCAUACACCACCUGGGGAGGGGCGCAUGUGACCGGCGGUGCCAGUGGCCCCUGCACCCCCAGCACCAGCCCCAGGUCCAUCUCAGGCAGCAACGGGUGGCCUGGAGGCCCUGACCUUGGCGUUGGCACUGUAGCCGUUCUCCACCGUGUACUUGGACUCUACGAGCUGCUUUGUUUUCUCAAUCAUCUGGCGCCCGAACCCAGUGACGCUCUGUUGGGGAGAGAAUCACGCAGAGUGAAGGCCCAGGGGCUGACCUGCAGGGAACACAGGCUGGGGUCCCACCUCCGCUGCUUUCUGCGGGUGUGGGAAUGGGUGAGCCAUUCCACCUCUCUAGGCCUGUUUCCAAAUCUGCAAAACAGGGCUACUGAGCUGUUCCUUAAUGGUCUGUUGGAAAGAAGUGUUGGGUUGCUGGUCCAAAGCUGGUGGCACAGAGGAGGAACUGACUGCAGCAUAUGAGUGGUGGAAAGUUUGGAGCCACAAGAGGCCAUCAGCUCAGAGCUUCUCUCCACAGAGGUGCUGAGACACCCGGUGGUAUUGUGGGCAGCUCUCUGUGGUGCAGGACCACUGACAUUCCUGGCUGCCCUCCCCCCGGAAAGCCAGCAGUGCUGCCCCUCUCAUCCUUGGGCAACCAGAAAUGACCCUACACACUGUCAAACACCGUCCCCAAGGUAGAGGCCUUGUACCAGCACCAUGGAGAGACUAUUCCUUUCCAACAAGUUUAUUUUACAAAUAAGGAAACCGAGGCUAGGGGAUGAGGAGGGACACACUAAGGAGAAAUGGGUUUGACUCUUCUCUUUUGUUUGGAUCCAGGUAGAAAAUCCUUGUGCUUAACUAGAGCAUUGAGGCCACUUAUGUUUAGUGUAAUGACUGACUAUAGCUGGGCUUAAAUCUACCGUUGUACGAACUGUCUUCUAUUUGUUCCACCUGUUCUAUGUUCCUUUUUCUUUCCUCAUCUUUUUCUGGAAUGAGUCAGAAUUUUUUUUUAUUAUCCCACCUCCCUGCCCCCAUAAACUUGAGAGACAGAAAUAGGGAAAGAGGCUCAGAAACAGACAGAAGGGAAGGGGCUGAGAGGGAAAAGACAGAGACAAGGCCAGGAAGCGGCAGCCCCGAUGAGGAAGGACCAGGGGGAGAAAAACUGCACCCUCCUGCCUGGUCUUCACUUAGGGGCUGGAACCUGGCGGCCAAACAUCCACUUCUUUCCUCCGAGCAGGCUGGGGGAGGCCCCCAGGGACUGUGAAAGGCCCAUAAGAGGGGUAAGGGUGGCCAACAGUAAGGGACUGACUUCACCCUAAGAGAGGCUCGGCUCUUGGCUGGCUCCUGGGAGGGAACCUCUCAGCCCUUGGCAUGUCCUGUCUGAUAAGUGUCUUUGCUGACCUGGACCUUGGGUCACACCAAGUGAUCUAUGCUAACAACGUGAUUUAUGGUGGGGACCUUUGGCCACACGGUAUCAGCCUAACCUCUGGAGGGACUGGAGAUGGAGUCACAUGGGUGCUCCAUGCAUGUGUAACUGACCCCCAAUAAACACCCAGGACACCAAGGCUCAGGUGAGCUUCCCUGAGGGGCAGUACCACGUGUAUGAGGUCACACAGGAAUGCCGGGAGAACCAAGUGGUGUCUGCGGGACCGCCCUUGGGACAGACAACUGGAAGCCUGUGCCUGGUCUCCCUGGACUCUGCCUUUCCCUUGGUUGAUUUCAAUCCCUCUCCUUUCACUGUAAUAAAUCAUAACCACAAGUGUAA